CAAUAUUUGACUGAUAUUCCCCAAUAUAACGACGAGUUAAAACACGUACUACGACAGCUGAUGAAUUUGCAAGUUGUGAUGAAGUUGGAUGACCGUGAUUACCAUAAUGACCAUGAUUUUGAUGGCAAUGCAAGAGAAAAAGAGAAAAUAAAAAAAUAAGUCAAGAUUGGAUUCAAGAGUAUCGACAUUGGAAUGACAAGUUUGACGAUGACCGUUUGACGAUAACGAUGACGACUCUGAUGAAGAUGACAACUUGGUGACAAGUUUGGUUAGAGAAAAAAAAGUUCAUCUAGUCUUUUACAUCAUGGAACGGAUAUGAUUGGAAAUAUUUAGAAGCAAAAAAAGAGUCAGAAAGAAAAGGGCAGAGAAUUUUCUUUCCCUUCUGAUCAAAUAUUUUAACCUCUUGUCGUUAUUGGAUAACCACAAAAAAAGUACACUCUGUCUAACAAGUAUUGCCAAUCUGUAGUCAGGAUUAAUUUAAAAAAGACUGAAAGAGAAGCUGAGGUUAGCGUUUGGAUUGCAUAAAAAGUAAUGGUCCUGAUGUAGCACUGAGUUGGCAGAAAGUCAGUUACGCAAACAUUUAAUUUACACUUUACUCUUUUUUGUCCAUUUCAUCGCCAUAAUCUUGAUCGGAUUAAUAGAUCAAAAUGCUUUUAAACAACACUUCUUCAUAAUGUAUUUAUACAUCAUCUUAGGAAUGAACUGAGUAAAAAGAAGAAGAAAAAAAAAUUUCAAAUGCACCAAUAUAUCAUUUAGCAUUGACUUUGUUAAUUUAUUAUACGAUUUUGAGGGAGAGCAUCUUAAUUUCGUUAAUCGUUAAUCUUAAUUCUUUGUUGCCAAGAGUCGGUAGAGUCUAUGUGAUAACUACGAUAAGCUUGUGAAAAUUGAGAGGAAGGUAAAGUUACAGAUAAUAAGAGGUCUGGUUCAACGGAUUCUCAUCGAUUUUUACAAUUCAUUUGAACUUCAUUUAAUCUCCAUGGACUUGGUUAAAGAUUAUUAUAAUACAAAUUCCUCCAAACAAGAAUCAAACAAAGCAGAGGCAAAAGCUAAAUUUGGUGAAUUAACAUUCUGAAAUUGCAAUCAUCUCAAGCCAAUGUUCGGAUCAAUAAUGGAUUUUGUGUUAAAGUCGAAAGUCAUGGCUUCUUAUUGCUCAAUCAAAAGUUGGAAAUAGAAAUUUGAGAAUUCCAAUGAAUUCUGAAUGAGAUUUUUCUAAGACUUUGGUUAUUGGAAAAUAUUUCCAGUUUAAAUGUAAAUUCAUAAACAUCUCCUAAGAAUGAAGUUCAAUCAUCAAGUCACUAUCAUUAUCGUGGUCAAAUUGGUUUGCAAUAUGAGAAAAUUUAAAGGACAUGGAAAAAAAUUGCGGAAUCAAUUGAAUCUUACCUGAUUUACCAACGCCUUUUGCUCCAAGGACAAGAAUUUUUAAUUUGGUAAUUUGAGUCAUCCUGGAUGAUUGGUGUGAUUGAACGGCAGAAACAGUUAUUAGCAAUCAAUUAUCACAAAAUUGAAAAAUUGUUGAAAAGUUGUUGGCGAAGCAAUUGAAAAAAGUAAGAACAAGAUUAUUCUAUAGGCUUCUCCAUCCAUGGAUAUGUUGGUCAAGAACCUAUGAGAGAAAAAGUGUUAAAAAUUCCUGUGAAAGGAAGGAAAAAAAGAAAAGAAAGACUCAAAGUUCAAUGGCUUUCGCAAUUCAGGGAGUGAGAAUUCAGGGAAUGAAUACUAUAACUCUUGCUGUUAGCUGUUUUCCUUUCGCUUUUCAUCAUCUUUCUUUUGGUAUUUGGUUACAUUUGUGAGAUUAAAAGGGUUAACAAUGAUAAGGAAAUGAAGGAACAAAAAAGAGGCAACAAAAGUAAACUAGGAAUGGAGUAAUAGGAAUCAUUUAAUUAACCAUCAACAGUUAAUGAGGAAGAGAUGAUGGUAACCUUUUUCUCUGGCUAAUCCAAUCAUUUGUCCAUCCAUUCAUGGAAAUGGUUGAAAGGAUUGAAAGUUGAAUAUUGGAUAAAGGAUAAAUUGUUACUAAUAUUAGGUUUAGAGGUUUAGGUUUUGCCAGUUGAAGUUGAUUAAAGAUGAUUGUAGGUGAAUAUUUGAUUAAGGAAAGGAUGGAAAGCAAUAAGACAAAGAAAUUAGAUGAUAAAGAUGAAUUAGCUUAUGCAAAAGCUAAAAUCAAAUGAAUAUAAGAGAAAAGGUCAUUCAGGGUUAUCAUAUUGUUUAUCAUAAGAUGAUGAACUUUUCUCAUUUCCUUAUUUUCCUUCUGUCAAGGUAUAUUAAACUAUUUGUUUGUGUUUAUUAAGUUCACAUGGAAAUACAUAAAAUCCAGAAGAUGCCAUUUAAUACCAAAUGGCUCUGGUAAUGAUGAAGAUGAAAAAGAAAGAAAUUUGAGUUGAUAUUUAAUUGGCUGCAAUCCUGGUUCGAAGGGUUCAUCAUCACAUAUCGCUUUCCAAAGGCCAUUGAUGUUUAUUUUGCUUCAACAAUAACAAUGAAAAGUUUUUUUCCCUUCAACUACAAACUGCUUAUUGAUGGAAAUUAAUCAAAUCAAAAAGCAAUUAGAGAUCGAUUGACGCACUUUUUAAAUUUCUUGUUCAUUUGGUGAAUCGAAUUGCUAACUUGGCGGAAGAUCAAUGUUUUUAUGCAGAUUUUUUGGUUCUGCUGGAUUAAUGGAAAGAUUGGAUUAGCAUUUGGAUUUUUGUUCAUCAACCUUCGCCUUGAAUUAAUCUCAAGUUUAAUGUAAAACCUAAUGAAUCAUGGAAAUAACAAAUUAUCAUAUUUUUAUUACAAUGGAUGGUCAAAUCUGGAAGAGCAUAUAUUAAUAAAGCAACUGACUGGAUGCUUCACUUUUCCUGUUGACCAAAGAUAACAACCGUAAUGAUGGAAAUGAUGGAAAUGAAAAAAACAAAAAUGGUUACAAAGAUUUUGUUACUUUUUUUUGGUUCAUUGAUGUAUACAUUUCAAUCUCGUGGCUUUACUUUGGAUGGAUCAAGUGAAAACCAAAUGGAUCAAUAUACUUAUUAUUAAGCACAAAACUAGAUUCUACAAACACUGAUUAUAUUGGGAAAAUGAUUAGCGAUUAUUCGAUAGACAGCAAAUGAUCAAUUGAUUCAAUUCCAUGGACAAGACGAUCAAUAUUUGGUGGCUCUUCAAUUGUAAUCAUAUUUCAUGGUUACAUAUUGCUGUGUAAUUUACCAAAAAAUUUAAUUGUUUUGUGGAAACAAAAAUUGCGAAUCAAUAACCCAAAACAAACGCCUUCUAAGAGUAUCAAUGGAGGAAACAAUAAGGAGAUUAAGGAAUCAGGAAACAUUACAUGAUAAUGAACAAGCAUGGUGGCUGGUGGAACAAAGUGUGAAUUAAGAUGUUCAAUUCUUUUGUUUUCAUGCUUGUUGCUGAACUCACUUAAUUGUGCCUGUUGAAUGGCAGUAAAUUGACCAGAAGAAUCUUUAAAGAAAACCUUCAUUUGAUCCAAUUCCUUGGAGCUUUAAUCAUUUGCUGUUGAUUACCGAAGCUAAAUCCUUUCUUUUUACUGUAAUUUAAUGAUUAUCGUUAAAGCAGAUGAUGAUGAAGAUGAUGAACAAGUGGAAAUACUGUGCAGAAGAAAAAAGAUCAAAAAUAGUGUUGACAGAUCUCUUUGGACAGUUUUUUUCAUCAACAAUGUUAAUGAGUGUGAAGAUGAUGAUGAUAAUAGGGAUGACUGGAGAUUUGCGAGUUUUAUUAACAUAAUAAUGGUGAAAAUUUGUGAGAGAGAAGGAAGAUGAAGAUGAAAUGGGAAUCGAUUUACUGAUGUACUAAUGAAUGGAAACAGUUGGAUGAAACUCGGUCGAUGGCAAUAACCUUAACAGAAAAACAAAACAAUCUUGAUCUCUGGCAAUGGCCUUUCAAUGAGGAAUCAACGUAAAUAACAACAGUUAGUGAAAGUAAACAUGGGAAACAUUUUUCUUUACAUUUUCCCUUUUAUUUACCUCUCUUUCAACUGCAUUUAUUGUCUUCAUUUAAAGAUUUACCUGAAUCAUCAAAAGAUCAAUAACAAAACAAACAAGGAAAUAACUAUAAGUGAUCUCUGGGAAUAUAUUUUUAUUAAUUGCAGAAGUAAUCAAAUCUCAGAUUACCUGUUUCCUAGUAUUGUACUGUUUCCUUAGCAGAAUAUCCAGAUUAAACAAGAGUUUAAUUUCAGUUUCAGCGGUGUAUUAGAGUGUUGACAUGUUUUAAUGUAUCAAUAUAAUUUACGUUUGAAUAUUGAAAUCAAAUUAUUUCACCUGAACAGUAUCAAAUACUUUCAAAUGUGUCAAGAGUUUGAA